CAUUUUAUUUCUUUGUGUUUCUGCUUGUCUCUGUUCCAUUGGUAUAUAAUGUACUUGUUUUAGGGUAUGUCCUGGACAAGAGUCACAGAGAAGCCAACUGACAGUUUGGAAUCCAUCAUCCAUCUUCUGAUCCCACUUUUCCCAGUUCGGGGUAGAGGAGCAGGGUGCCCUUCCGUUCCACAGCACACUAACGUGCAUGUCCUCAUGGGCAAAUCUAAAGGAGUCUCUCAUCCUGACAUGUGCUUACAUGGACUGUGGGUGGAAAGCUGAGUGAAAGAAGCUGAGAUAGAAGGCAAUGCACCAUGAAACUGCAUAUUCUUUAUGUUGAGAACCACUGGCCAAACUGAAUCCUAACCACUGCUCUGACAGCAAACAGGCCUCAAUUCAGUAGAAGCUGAUGGCCUUCAUCAUGGUUACUUUUUAAUGUGUGAGAUAGAACACGAGAAAUUCUGCCUGUGUCUGAUUACAUCACUUCCUGUCCAGGCCUCUAGGACGUCACUUCCUGCUCAGCCCCGAUGACAUCACUUCCCUUGGACCGCCUCAAAAACCCUCCAUUCCCCCUACUUGGACAGUUCUGUUUUGGACUCUAACCUGUACACAUUGUAUGCAAAUUUAUGUAUAUGUAUUUGCACAUGUAUUAUGAGACUGAGUAGAUCGAUUUAGCCAUAUCCUUACACAGGUGCUGCUUGAACAUAUGAGACAAGGACCAGUGUGGCUCAGAAUGCACCUCUUUGCAAGCAAGUGUCUCAGACUAAUCAUUCAAUGAACAAAUCAAAUAUUAUUAAGAUAAGAGUGCUUUACAUCAAUCCUACUUCCAAUCUCCUCACUUGGUUGUAGGCAAAAGGAGCCUAUCCUGCCAUCAUCUGUUACAAGCCAGGAACCAAUGGUGUCUGUAACGCAAGGCUAUUGCAGGUUAGAGUUACCCACACACGUUAAUGCCAGGGCUCUUUAGUGGCAAAAAUAAGCCUGAUACACAUGUCUUUGAGACAUGGGAGGAAAACCAGAGUAGCAAGGGUCUAAGGCUCUAGAGCUGUGAGGCAGCAGCAUUAACCAAUCUGAUAUAUUGUCCCCUACCAGAAUUAAAUAUAAAAACAAAUGAAAUUCAGUUACAAAAAUGAAUCUUAAAGUAGAAAAGCAGACUGUAAAUAGUGAGAAGAAGACGGCACACUCUGACAGAAAAGAAAUCGAAGAGCUGUUAGGGGCUGAAUGGCCUGUUCUCAUAAAAAUAGGCUUCAUUAAAAAUGAAGACUUUUAGAGCUUAAAGCGGACUUUGUAGGUGAUAACACAGAGCCUUACUUGAAUAUCAGACCCAGUGAUUCAAAAAUGUUUGAGGAAAUUAGGGUAGAAACAAGAGCCCAGAAUGACAGAAAGAAUGAGCCGAUGCACUGUGGAGACUCUGCUAAAAUUCUGCACCAACUUAUCAGGGAGAGUGAAGGAGAACUAGCAUGUAGAAAACGUGUAGUGCUGCUGCCAUAGAAUACAGGAAGGCACCAGAGAUGGCUGGGUAACAUUCUGAUCACGACGGUCGUGAUUACGAAAGAGUCAUUCCUGGAACUGCUUAAUCAUAACUUCGUGUGUCCAGAGGCAUAGCUAGGGUUUUCAACGCCCAGGGACAACUGAAGAUUUUGCGCCCCCUCCUGUUUGUCAAAAUGAAUGGGGAAGGGAAAGAAAAUUU